UCUUCAUUGGUCUAGUGGUCAUGAUUUCCGCUUGUCAUAGACGAGCACAUGUUGUCACAAGCGCGGGAGACCAGGGUUCGAUUCCCUGAUGGAGAG